AUUCUCAGAGGGCGGAGCCAGAGAGCAGUGAUUGGUCAGACUGACUGAGAAUCAGAGAGCAGUGAUUGGUCAGACCGACAGCGAGCGAGUGUAUCUAGUCGAUGUAUGUCUCUGGCUGCUGUUGACCUUGUUUUUGGAGUAAAACACGGUGGAAGCUGAAUUAGUGAGGAUGACUCCUGCUCCUGUCAUCUCUAAGCUCCUCACACAUCUUUACCUGCACAUGAGGAAAAUCACUCCUGUAGAAUGCAGAUGCACAAUGAGGGACGUCUGCAGAGACUGAGAAAGAGUCUCACCACAUCCUGACAUGAGGAAAAAGACUUUAUUGAAGACUACAAUGAGAAAAAACUAUCAGACAGCAGAUGGCUGCAUUCAAGGUGAGCUCUGAACAUUUGAUCUGGAACAGGAAUUCAAUAACGGCAGCAUGAGCUUCAUUUCAGUCUGUAGCUGCUGAAUUCAUGGAUGAAUCAUCUGGCACUAGAGAAGAAGACCAUCAAACAUCCACGUCAGCUGAUGGAGGUCCAAGAGUCUCACCGAACAACCAACCUACAGAGUGAAGACCUCAAAUCUGAUUGGACGGCCUCCUAUUCAGCCACAUGUGUGAACAAAUGCCUCUAAGCUGAUUUGUUUUCUAAAAUAAAUCUAGUUUGAGUCCUAA